CUAAUACAUGCAAGUCGAACGCGUCUUGGUUAUUGAUGUUAGAUGCUUGCAUUUAACUGAUUUAACAUUGAGACGAGUGGCGAACUGGUGAGUAACACGUGGGUAACCUGCCCUUGAAGUAGGGGAUAACACUUGGAAACAGGUGCUAAUACCGUAUAACAACCAAAACCACCUGGUUUUGGUUUAAAAGAUGGCUUCGGCUAUCACUUUAGGAUGGACCCGCGGCGUAUUAGCUUGUUGGUAAGGUAACGGCCUACCAAGGCAAUGAUACGUAGCCGACCUGAGAGGGUAAUCGGCCACAUUGGGACUGAGACACGGCCCAAACUCCUACGGGAGGCAGCAGUAGGGAAUCUUCCACAAUGGACGAAAGUCUGAUGGAGCAACGCCGCGUGAGUGAUGAAGGGUUUCGGCUCGUAAAACUCUGUUGUUGGAGAAGAACAGGUGUGAGAGUAACUGUUCACAUCUUGACGGUAUCCAACCAGAAAGCCACGGCUAACUACGUGCCAGCAGCCGCGGUAAUACGUAGGUGGCAAGCGUUGUCCGGAUUUAUUGGGCGUAAAGCGAGCGCAGGCGGUUUCUUAGGUCUGAUGUGAAAGCCUUCGGCUUAACCGGAGAAGUGCAUCGGAAACCAGGAGACUUGAGUGCAGAAGAGGACAGUGGAACUCCAUGUGUAGCGGUGAAAUGCGUAGAUAUAUGGAAGAACACCAGUGGCGAAGGCGGCUGUCUGGUCUGUAACUGACGCUGA
rnacentral:rRNA from 1 species